rnacentral:rRNA from 1 species
CGUUCCUACGGGGCGCAGCAGUGAGGAAUAUUGGUCAAUGGACGCAAGUCUGAACCAGCCAAGUAGCGUGCAGGAUGACGGCCCUCAGGGUUGUAAAAUUCUUUUAUAUGGGAAUAAAACGUUCCACGUGUGGGAUUUUGUAUGUACCAUAUGAAUAAGGAUCGGCUAACUCCGUGCCAGCAGCCGCGGUAAUACGGAGGAUCCGAGCGUUAUCCGGAUUUAUUGGGUUUAAAGGGAGCGUAGGUGGAUUGUUAAGUCAGUUGUGAGAGUUUGCGGCUCAACCGUAAAAUUGCAGUUGAAACUGG